CCUACGGGACGCAGCAGUAGGGAAUCUUCCACAAUGGACGAAAGUCUGAUGGAGCAACGCCGCGUGAGUGAAGAAGGGUUUCGGCUCGUAAAGCUCUGUUGGUAGUGAAGAAAGAUAGAGGUAGUAACUGGCCUUUAUUUGACGGUAAUUACUUAGAAAGUCACGGCUAACUACGUGCCAGCAGCCGCGGUAAUACGUAGGUGGCAAGCGUUGUCCGGAUUUAUUGGGCGUAAAGCGAGUGCAGGCGGUUCAAUAAAGCUUAUUUGAAAAGCUUCGGGUCCAACCGGGGAUU
rnacentral:rRNA from 1 species